UCUAGUGGCGCGGGUGAUAUGUUGAAGACGAGAGCAAUCGUAUUUAAGUUUUCUUGUGUUUUUGCAUGUGUAUGGAAACUGCCAUCUCAUGAACUCUCCAAGCUGUAUCCGGCUCUGUUCUUUGUAUCACAUGGUCAUGUGUUUUUUAUGACUUUUAAAAGUUGCCAAAGGCUUUUGCAAGAAGUCCCAAAACAAUAUGAAACCCAACCUGCAGAAGAUGUUCCAAGCCACCUUCAUGGCUACAAAUUUGAAAGACUGUACAUUGCAGGGUAUUGAAAUGGGUCAUGUGUGUUUCUCUUAUUGAUGCCUUGGAGCCAAAGUUAAGCCACCCAAGAGAUGGAAAUAAGCUUCAGGUAUUUUUUUUUUUCUUGUUAUAUAGGAUCUGUUUCUGACUCAGGAAACACGUUUUAGGUAUUCACUUCUAGUCUUUACGGAGAAAUUUAUAAUUAAUUGUCAAGAAGUUACUAGAACUACUUAAUACUUUAAUGGGUACAGAUUGUUAGUAAUAAAAAAGCAUUGAAAGGGCAUAAUGAAUACACGUAAACUAGAAAAGAGUUUGAUGGUUUUAUUUUUAUAUACAAAAGCAAUCAUUAAUCGGUGGUUUUAUUUUUUUAAAGUUCUCGAGUUCCUCUUAUAAGGAAUGUUCACUAGUGGAAACCAAACAGUCUCUACUUAGAAAAAAGAAAAAACAAAUCGCCUCUUUCCUCCUUGAGAUUUUAGAUUUUAGUGCUGAGAGAUUUAGAAGCUUUGAGAAUGGUGAAUCAACAUUUCUUCAAGCCUCUUCUUCCUGGCUUUCACAGCCACUUGACAAUUCCUGUGGCUUUCUUCUUUAAGAAUAUAGAAGGAUGACAUGAGCAUAAGACGGCAGAGUUAAGAUCAGACGCAUCCAAGAAAACCUGGAAAGUGAAAAUAGAUGGCCAGAGACUCACCAACGGUUGGACAGAGUUUGCUCUCGCACAUGAUCUUCGAAUCGGCGACAUCAUUGUUUUCAGACAAGAGAGAUCCAUGACUUUCCACGUUACAAUGUUGGGACCUAGUUGUUAUGAGAUUCAAUAUGUGUCUUGUCUAGACAACCAGAACAACCUCGUAUCUUCUUUUUCAGGGAAGAUUCAAAGGAAGAAGAAAGAAGCAGAGUCUUCACUAGAUCUCUCUUGUUUCAUUGCUAAUGUCACGCCUUCGAAUCUACGUUAUGACUCACUGGUAUUCUACAAUUUUAACUCAGAAGAAACUCUUAUACUAGGGUCUGAUUAAGAUCAAACUCAUGUUUUAUUGUAAUAUAUUUUCAGAAUCU